GUCGAGGAUCUUUUGCAAUGCCCGAAAGGGUGACAAUGCGACGCCGCGUGCGCGAUGAAGGUUUUCGGAUUGUAAAGCGCUGUCGUCCGGGAGGAAUCUCUGGAGGCUUAAUAAGCUUGCAGGGUGACAGUACCGGAAGAGGAAGCCACGGCUAACUCCGUGCCAGCAGCCGCGGUAAUACGGAGGUGGCAGGCGUUACUCGGAUUGAUUGGGUGUAAAGGGUGUGUAGGUGGUGAAUUAAGUCGAAUGUGAAAGCCCCUGGCUCAACCAGGGAAUUGCAUUCGAAACUGAUUUGCUUGAGCGAUGGAGAGGAAAGCGGAAUUCCCGGUGUAACAGUGAAAUGUGUAGAUAUCGGGAGGAACACCAGUGGCGAAGGCGGCUUUCUGGACAUCUGCUGACACUGAAACACGAGAGCAUGGGGAGCAAACAGGAUUAGAUACCCUUGUAGUCC
rnacentral:rRNA from 1 species